rnacentral:rRNA from 1 species
UACAGAGGUCUCAAGCGUUGUUCGGAAUCACUGGGCGUAAAGGGUGCGUAGGCGGAACGCCAAGUCAGAUGUGAAAGACCGGGGCUCAACCCCGGAACGGCAUCCGAUACUGGCGAUCUAGAGGGCUCGAGGGGAGUGUGGAAUUCACGGUGUAGCAGUGAAAUGCGUAGAUAUCGUGAGGAACACCAGUGGCGAAGGCGACACUCUGGAGAGCAACUGACGCUGAGGCACGAAGGCCAGGGGAGCGAACGGGGAUUAGAAACCCCCAGGUA